UAGGGUCGAAUUGGAGUUGCAGCUGCCUGCCUGUGCCACAGCUACAGCAAUGCCAGAUGUGAGCAGCGUCUGUGACCUACACCACAGCUCACAGCAAUGCUGGAUCCUUAACCCACUGAGCGAGGCCAGGGAUGGAACCCGCAUCCUCAUGGAUACUAGCUGGGUUCGGGUUCGUUACUGCUGAGCCGCAACAGGAAUUCCCAAUUGCCGCUCUUUUUUUUGUUGUUGUUUUGUCUUUUUAGGGCCACACCCAAGGCAUAUGGAGAUUCCCUGGCUAGGGACUGAAUUGGAGCUCCAGCUGCUGGCCUAUGCCAUGGCCACAGCAAUGCCAGAUCUGAGCCACAUUUUCGGCCUUCCCCACAGCUCCUGGCAACGCUGGAUCCUUAACCCACUGAGCAAGGCCAGGUAUCAAACCUGCAUCCUCAUGGAUGCCAGUCGGGUUCGUUACUGCUGAGCCACAAGAGGAACUCCCCAACUGCCACUUUUUGAGGGCUGACUGUGUGCCAGGCACUUUACAUACACCCCCUGAGGAUGACUCCGCUGCUCACUAGCUGAGUGACUAGCACCUUUCUCAGACUCUAAUCCAUUUCUCCUUUGUCGGGGGAGUUCCCAUCGUGGCUCAGUUGUUAGCGAACCGGACUAGCAUCUAUGAGGACUCAGGCUCGAUCCCCGGCCUUGCUCAGUAGGUUAAGGAUCUGGCGUUGCCGUGAGCUGUGGUGUAGGUCGCAGACAUGGCUCGGAUCCCGUGUUGCUGUGGCUCUGGCGUAGGCCGGCAGCUCUGUAGCUCCUAUUCGACCCCUAGCCUGGGACCCUUCAAGUGCAGUGGGCGCGGCUCUAAAAAGAAAGAAAGAAACCAUUUCUCCUUUGUCAAAUGAGAGUUAUGGUACCUGCCUCAUGGAGCUGUUGAGAGGACUGAACAAAUCCACAUAAGGUGCUGGCCUGCCACAAAGAUAGUUCAACAAAUGUUUGCUAAAUAAAUGAAUCCUCCUCUUACAGAUGAUGACAAUCAGCUCAGAGAAGGGGAGUUACUUGACCAAGGUCACACAGCUAGUGAGGCAUUUGAAUCUGUUCAUCUGGAUCCAGUCAGGGCUUUCACACUCUAUUCUAGGGAUGGAGGCAGAAAUGGGCAGGAAUAAAAUUCAGGCUGAGAAGCAGGAAAUGAGGUAGGAAAUCCAGGGCUUCUGAUGGCUGGUGAGGUGAGGGCUUCAGGUGUGUUUGGAGGAGGGGUGUAUGAGCAAGGGGUGUGUGCAUGCAUGUGUGUGCGUGUACGCGCAUGUGUGAGGGUGUGUACACGCAUGUCAGGCAGCGUGGGGAGGGUUGGGGCCUGGCUGGGACAGGCCACUCCAGAGAGAAGCUCAUUAGAGUAAUUACCUCCAGCAAGUAGAGCCCCACCCAACUCUGUGGGGAGCUGCCAAACACUUUAUUAAAGACAGUUCCCAAAGCACUUUAGCGGGGUGAACUCUCAGUCCCUUGGAUGAAUGUCCAUCUGUCCAUUUCUGCACCCUACCUUGCCCGAGGCAUUUUGAUCCUGCUCAUGUUUCCCCCUCCAACACCAAGCCAUAACCAGGCCACAUCCAACUCCUUCCAUCCCACCGAGGGCUGGUCUUUUCCUUCCUCUCUUCCCCAGAAAUUCUGGUCCGGAUGGGAGUCCUGGCCCCUCUGCUAUGGCUGUCACAGGUUGGGCCUGGGGCCUGAAGCCCCUGUGGCAAAGAAUGGGAGUGUCUGCUGUGAGCUGGCACAGGGAGUGGUAGCGUCUGGGUAGGAACAGGAACCAGGAAGGGUGUUAAGGUAGGGCUGUGGGUUAGUGUUGGUCUGGAGAUUGGGCUGGAAUGAGACACAGAUCAGACAGAGGUACUGGGGUUAGGGUGGCAUGUGGUGUUAGGGCCCAAGGUGGUGAGAAGUACGGGGUCAGCACUGGGUUAAAAUGGGAAUUAUGCUCUUGGGGCCGAAGGAGGAAUGGGAUUGGCAUCUGGACUGGAAUCUCAUCUCUAAUCCAUCUCUUUUUCUCUUCAGGCCUUUUGGCCUAAGCCCAGAAAUGGCUAAAAUUGGGGGAUUGAGUGGAGAGCUUUGAACCCCCCCCUCCCGGUUCUUGCCUUCCUGACCAGGUCCCAGGUAUCUGUCCCUUUCUGCUUCGAUUUCCCCCAUCUUGGCAGGAGGCAGGCUGAGUGCUAGAAAGGCUUUGAAGUCAGAGAUGAAAGCAACUAGGGGAUGAUUAUGAACAACACUCAAAACAUCAUCCCUAAUAGCCCUGGGGUGGAUGUGGGCGGGGGGCAGGGCCUAAAGGGAGGAGAUGGCCAGAAGCAGGAAGACCCCUGGGAAAUUCUCCCCAGCCUGAUGGGAAAGGCCUCCUUCAAUGCUCUCCCACCCCCCCCUCCCCUGCAAUACCACGCAGGGGGCCCAGGUGGAGACGGGGGUAAGAAAGUUUCCAGAAAGGUAGAACCUGAGCCCAGGGCCACCACCCUAAACCUGGGCCCACAAUCUAGCACUGGAGCAGGCAGGCUGGGCCUCACCUGCUGGGCAGGGCACCUCAGAACCUGAAAACUUUAGACUGGGCCUUGCGGGUGGGGCCUGAGCCCUCUCUCCUUCCUUGGUCAAAGAGGGCUAAGAGGUGCAGCCCGCCAGGCUUUCUGCCCCUCUGUGGGCUGGGCCCAGGAGGGGGUUAAUUACAGUGUCCUCAGGGAGAUGUGGUGGGGGUCCAGUUGGUGGCCCCUGGCAUUCUUCCUGUGAUGAGGCCUUGGUCAGAUUCCGUCCUUUCCAAGGCCUACUGAUUAGGGGAGUCACAGCUCAAACUGGCCUGUCCUGGACAAGCAUGAUGCUACCUCUGGGGCCCGUGCCCAGGGUGGGGCCAGGGUGCAGGGUUGCACAGUUUGGAGGAAUGUAGAGCCUGUGCUCUGGGGACCCGAGUCCAAGGGUGUUGUGGGGUCAUGCUAGGGUAGGGACAGUCUUCACAGAUGGGUGGGGUCUCUUCCCUGCCAGAGAUACUCUUGGGAAGGGGGCAGGCAAUCAGUCAUUCGUGCCUCCGUUAGCUCAUUCAUCUAAUAGAUUUGACGGAGUGCCAGGUGGAGGGGGGCAGACGGAAAGUAGUGAGAGAGUGAGGAGAUACAGGAGGGGAGACAGAAGGAGAUGGAAGAAGGAGGGCAGAAGGGGAGAGAGACCCCUAGUGGGAGUCCAUAGGGGUCAAGGGAAAGAAGAGAAGCAAAAGAGCCAAGGAGGCACCAGCAGAGGGCUGAGGCCAAGCCAGGCUACCUCUGGGGCGCCAGCCUGGAGCCAGGUGUCGCCAGUGGGGGGCGGGGAGACCACAGGUGUCUGGGCCUGGUGGGGGGUCUCCCACCACAAACAGGGCCCAGGAACCUGCCCAGCCAGGGCAGAGGUCAGAGGUCAGGGGACAGAGCAGGCGGGUAGACGAUUGUGGAGGCAGGGGCCCGGGAGCCAGGCUGAUGAGGAGUCCAGUGUGCAGCCGAGUCCCUCUCCUCCCCCACCCGGGGCUCCCUUCCGAUGUAGGUCAUGAGGCUGGGGUGGCUGUGGCUGAAGGGAUGUCAGAGCCCCACGGGAGUCUCCCUGCUGCAUCCUUGCUUUCUGUUGCCCCUUCCUCUCCUGGCGCCCCCAGCCCCAGGCGGGGGUGGGGGUGGGGUGAGGGAGGAAGGAAGGAGAAGGAAGCCGGGAAGGAAGGGCCCAGGCAGCCAGAGCAGGGAGAGAGAGGGGCAGGUCCCGGCGUGUUGGGGCAGGAUGGCUGCGGAGACAGGAUCCGAGCCGCAGGGGCCCCGGGAUGGACAGUUUCCCACCCCUUCUUCUCCCCAAGCCCCUUAUCUUCAGCCCUCAGGUUCCCACCGCCCACCGCACACACACCUCGAGGCUACACCCACCAUCUUCUCUUCCCCCCCCCGCCCCCCACUUCCUCCUUUCCCUCUUAUCCUGGGCCCAGAAGGAUGUCGGAGUGUUUGAGCUAAGGGUGGGGGAAGGCGCUGGGGGUGACGGGGGGACGAGUCAGAACCUUUCCCUCAACUCCCCCAGGCUAGGACCAGCCCCCUCCCCCAGCUUCUCGUGGACUAUCAUAUAAUAUUCAUGAGCCUCAUGAAUACGCAAUGUUCUCCUUAUGGGGCGGGGGUCUCACUCGGCUCUGCCUCCCCCUUUACCACUCUCUGGGUUUCCGGGAGAAGAGGCGGCAGUUUGGGGACGCGGGGAAGAGGGGGCCCCAGAUGUGGAGCCAGAUGAAGGGGGAGGGGGAAUGGGU
rnacentral:lncRNA from 1 species